CCACUGACCGCGGAGUUCUCGGUUUGCCUUUGGUGAAAAAGCGGCCAGUUUAGGGUCUCUUGUUAGACUGUUUAAUUCCGACGUCUGUUUGACUGGUAGUGACUGGGCCCUUCCCGAGCAAGUUAUUAGCCGGCCUAGAGGCAAAUCCUCUGAGGGUUUCCUUACCUUCUCUCCUCCUGUUGCUUCCCUAUUAUUAUCACUUUUGUUGACCUGUUUGCCAACAGGGUAAGGCAGGAAAACUGGGCCAACACAGAAUACCUGGCUGGAGCCUGAAAACUAAGGUUACAUCAAUGAAAAGUCAUAACCAAGGACUGGCCCGUGGUUCCUCAUUUGCUGAGAGCGAAGUUUUAAAAAAUAAUCUUUUAUUACGGAAUAGAGCCAUAUUUACAGAAAAUGGUGUUUCUAGAAAUUUGGGAAGCAGUGUUGCAUGAACUUCCCGAACCUCUCAGUACCAGAUCACAAGAUAAAACUUGGCUUAUUUUCCUACAGUUUCAACUUUGCUUGAAUACAUGGACACAGUGGAAGAUGGAUUCUGUGAAGGGGGAGAGAUCAGAAAGGCAGAAGAAGAGAUGUGAUUAGAUUAUUAUUUUACCGAAUAUAUAGCUGGAAAAGAACUCCUUGUAAGAGUCAAAGAAGCAGCCACUCUAUCUUCUGUUUCUGCCCAUUUGGGACAGUUUGUUUGUUUAGCUAUUACUGAUAUCACGUGUAAAUCCAAUAACUGGACAUUGGGAUACAUCACCUGAUGCUGGAAGUGGAAAAUGAGCGAGGAUGCCACUGUCCACCCUUUGGGGUGUGAUUCUUCCAUGCUUCUGUCUGCUUUUUAUUAUUGUGUAUUUAUGCUCCAGCUUAGCACAAGAUGGACACAAGGAAAACAAAGACCUUUCCUGGGAGCAAAAGGAUCCGUUCCCAAGAGUUCUCAAGCAAAAAUGACCACCACCAACACUGCCAUCAAGAUUUUCUUUCCUAGUCUUGAUUAGGAGAGAAAAGUCUCAACACUUUGACUUCCAGUGGCCCUGGAGGACUGAGACGCAGGAGGCUGACAUGAUAGAUCUUCAUCCUGCUGUCAGAAGUCUUAGCAUCUCAUGCUGCAGCAGCCUUGGUGAGGCAGUCCCAGGGCAAUGAAGGGUGACAAACUCUCCUGGAGGAGGGGAAGUCUCCCUGUGCCCCUCUGGGUCCUUCUGGGGCAGGUGAGUAAUCACACACCAGAAAGAGUGGUGGGAGAAGUCGCCAAAUUGAAUUACUGUGUAACCAGGAAUCUACAAUGAGAUAAAGGUUCCAAUAUCAAUGAGGCCAAAUGGGGCUCCGGACUUACAAGAGAGAGGCGGGAUCCCCCAGGGAGGAGAGAGGCGGGGUCCCCCAGGGAGGAGAGGAGCCAUCAUCCCUGUGACAGAGAUGAGCUGCUCUGAUACCUAGUGCUUGCUCUGCCCCCGAGGCAGGUCUUUCAAACAGAAAGGGAGGGAAUUUCUGGUAAUAACCCUAGUUCUAGAUAAAACCCCCAAUUUUCUUUUAGGUAGUUAGGGUAAAAGCAGCUAUUGACUUCAGCUUAAGAUAAUCCAGGCCUUUGAGGGAGGCCUAGCCUUCACCACUCCCUGUGACCCCGACACAUUUUUGGCCGCCUCGGUGGCCUCGGUGGCCUCAGCAUCCCCAAGCUUCCUCCUUUUAAAAUGUUUAAGAUCUACUCGGUCCCUCUCCCUCCCGCUCCCCCAAGUCUCCUCCUUUGGAGACUCCCGGAGCGCAGGGAGGGGCUGCAGUUAGUCCAUCCACACGGCACCUUUGAUGCACAUUUACUUGGCGACCCGACCUGAGCUCAAUGCCUCCCCCCCGCAGCUCUACCGAACCCUCAGCCGGAGCUGCCCCGCGGCCG